rnacentral:rRNA from 1 species
UACGUAGGGGGCAAGCGUUGUCCGGAGUUACUGGGCGUAAAGCGCACGCAGGCGGUCGAUUAAGUUUGGAGUGACAGUUGGUGGCUUAACUGCCAAAGUGCUUUGAAAACUGAUCGACUUGAGGGCUUCAGAGGGACACGGAAUUCCGGGUGGAGUGGUGAAUGCGUAGAGAUCCGGAGGAACACCGAAGGCGAAGGCAGUGUCCUGGGGAGUACCUGACGCUCAGGUGCGAAAGCCAGGGAGCGAACGGG